UCUCGAUAGCGUGAUAGUUAACUCAAAUUUGUGUGGAGUUGGAACGUUUGCUUACCUUUGCCGCUAGGAGCACUGUUCCAACUACAAACAAAUUUGAGUUAUUUUUUACGCUAUCGA
rnacentral:pre_miRNA from 9 species